GUAUUUUCGCAUGGAUCACGUUCUAACGAGAGGUCAAAAAUUCAAGAUGGCGGCGCCCGUCAGAGUGCUUUGGAACACAUCAAAGCGUUUAGUUUUGGGGAAAUGUAAAUUUCCAACGAGAUGUCUAUCAUCAACAUCAGUAAACAGUCAGUGCUCUCCACUACAAUAUACAGAUUAUCAAGUUUCCAAGGAAGACUUCAAAUAUGUUAAGAAAAUUCUGCCCCCAGAAACUGUGCCUGAACCACCA